rnacentral:rRNA from 1 species
UGAACGCUGGCGGCAGGCCUAACACAUGCAAGUCGAACGGUAACAGGAAGAAGCUUGCUUCUUUGCUGACGAGUGGCGGACGGGUGAGUAAUGUCUGGGAAACUGCCUGAUGGAGGGGGAUAACUACUGGAAACGGUAGCUAAUACCGCAUAACGUCGCAAAACCAAAGAGGGGGACCUUCGGGCCUCUUGCCAUCGGAUGUGCCCAGAUGGGAUUAGCUAGUAGGUGGGGUAACGGCUCACCUAGGCGACGAUCCCUAGCUGGUCUGAGAGGAUGACCAGCCACACUGGAACUGAGACACGGUCCAGACUCCUACGGGAGGCAGCAGUGGGGAAUAUUGCACAAUGGGCGCAAGCCUGAUGCAGCCAUGCCGCGUGUAUGAAGAAGGCCUUCGGGUUGUAAAGUACUUUCAGCGGGGAGGAAGGGAGUAAAGUUAAUACCUUUGCUCAUUGACGUUACCCGCAGAAGAAGCACCGGCUAACUCCGUG